rnacentral:sRNA from 1 species
UAGGAGUCCUACUCUUCACAAAGUUUCUUGAUAUUCCUUUCCAAUCUCCUUUUCCUACUUUCUGCAACCCAAUCAAGAACCUCUUAUGCUCGUUCUCUGUCCAUGGAACCCCUGUUUUGUUCAACAC